UUAGAAGUUUGAUGAUUUUACAUACUAGAUUUGCUUUUUGAGCGCAAGUUUUGUAAGAAAUUGCAACAAAAUAGUGACAUUGUAUGUGUAAACAAACAAUACCAUCCAUUAAAGGCUCCAGACAUCAGUAUGGAGUAGAAUCAGCGCAAUAAAAAAAUAGCGCAAUAUUUUGUUGCAAUUUCUUACAAAACAUGCGCGCAAAAAGCAAAUCUAGUAUGUAAAAUCAUCAAACUUCUAAUGCUCGUAACUCAGUUCAGACUGAGUUUAGAGGUAUACAUGCCGUAGUAAGUUUGGUUUAUUACACUAUUUCGUAAUCAAAAAACAAAGUUUGGUCGAUGGCCGCGCGAAAAAAAAAAGACGCCACCUUCCAUACAAAAUCUGGCAUUGCCUUUUGGAGCUGACUGUACAUUAGAGCAGCGGUUCCCGAAAGGUGGUCCGCGGAACCCUGGGGUUCCGUGGAAAGGCCGCAAGGGUUCCGUAAAAAAUAUUAUCCCACGUUUCGUGACCGACGUUGUUCGCUCGCACCGACUUGUUUACGCACAAGGGAGGGGCAGGGCGUGCGGGCGGAGUAGUACGGGGGUUCCGCUAGGAAAAGUAUAAUCAAUUAGGGUUCCUUGGCAAAAAAAAAAUUGGGAAACCCUGCAUUAGAGGGUCGUGCUCCUGGAGUGGAGACUCAAUGACCUGAUGAAUGAUUCAUUCAAUCAUACCAAUCACAGAAUAAUCUAUGAUUGAGGAAUUUAGUUUUGUGCAUUUUGUGAUACGGAUUUUAGUCUUGUAGGCCUUGGAUGCGCGCCGCGAUAUCUUUUGUCGCACCUUUUAUCGAUAACCGCCUCUGUGGUCUAGUGGUAAGACCACCUGUUUCAGACGUAGAGAUCUCGGGUUCGAUUUCCAGUGGGGGCAGAUUUUUCUGUUCGGUUUGGUUGGUGGUAGGGCUUGUUCUAAGUCCGCCUGGCUAGCUACCACCAUCUUACCUAAGUCUGUCGCCAUAACAACAAUGUUAACAGCAUUGUUGUGUUCCGGCAGUUAGAGGUAAGAUAGCCAGUACCUCCGUGGUUGAGACUCGUUGUGGAUAAAAAAAAUCCUACGCGAUAAGCCCAUACAUUUGUCGUCUAUAUCGAUAAGAUUAUAUCACGGCAUCCUAGUCCGACUGGGCUGUAUAUUUCGUGGUAAUUUUAUGUUUGUUAACUAAAAGCGGAUGUAAAUAAUUUUAGUUGGUUUAAAUAUCGGUGUUUUAGACCGAUUGUAUGGGGAACUAUCUUCGAAACGUUCAAAUCUGACUACUAAUACAGAAUAAAAAAAAAUAUGAUCUAAUAGAAUUCAAAGACGAAAUGAGAUUUUUUAAAUGUAUUUUUGUGUAUUUAAGUAUCCCUGUAUUUCAGUUAUAUGUCUGAUACUAGUGUUGUUUAAAUAUCGAUAGAUAAUUUUAUCGACAAUAUUAUCGGUUCGUCCAGUACCAUCGAUAUACACAUCACUAGUUAUCUCACUUACAACACAAAGCUAUUAGAUGUAGGAAUAUUUUCAAUGAAGUUACCUCUUCGUUUGUUUAUAAUCAUUUCGACCGUGUAGAAUACAAAUAAACAAUAGGUUAUAAUAUUUUGAAUCUCAAUAAUUUACUUUUACUGUCUGUAUAAAGGUCGUAGCACACUUAUCAACCCGGAAAGGGAUCGUAACCGUAUCAACUCCAGGCGGUCAGUAUUCUUCAGUGAAGCUAUACUACGACGCACACUUAUCUUAUACACAACCCUCGCCUCGCCAAUUGUCAGCGCGCGAAAGGUGAUACGGUGUUUAUCCCUUUCCGAGUUGAUAAGUCUGCUAUGACCUUAAUAGGGUUAAAUUUUCUCAAACUCUCCUGACCUGGACACCACUGUGUGUAUGUAGCUAAAGUCCGGUCGCCGAGCACAUAGAAUUUCGUCUAAUGACCCCAAGCUACCCAUCCUUGUCGCUCGCGCGUAAUUAUAUUGCAGUCGCGACUGUGCGACGGGCGGCCGCAGUGAGUGUGCUAGCAGUGAAUGUGCGUUCGGCGACCGGACUUUAGUAAUGUAAAAUAGUGAUAGAGCCUGUAAUCCACGGCAACUGUAAAGUUUUUAAAGUGAUAAGCUAGAUUUAUGACCAUGUUUUAAAACAUAGUACAUAGGGAUUGAAUGUAAGCGUGUAUUAAUGUGUUUAUUUUUAAUGUAUGUGUCUAUUGGAAAAAUUGUUACCGAUACCAAUACCGAAAGUGUUGUUUAUUGAUGUAACGUCGAAAUUAACGUAUAAAUAGGUAAUGUAUCAAAAAUAUCCAGUUUUGAGACGGUGGGUACAGACAUGGAGUACCAAAAAAUGCAUAGUGCAGUAUUUUGUUGUUUCUUAAUAAACUAUUUUUGUUGACAUUUUA